rnacentral:rRNA from 1 species
UACGUAGGUGACAAGCGUUGUCCGGAUUUACUGGGCGUAAAGAGCGCGCAGGCGGUCGAGCAAGUCGAGUGUGAAAGCCCCCGGCUCAACUGGGGAGGGUCAUUCGAUACUGAUCGACUCGAAGGCAGGAGAGGGUAGUGGAAUUCCCGGUGUAGUGGUGAAAUGCGUAGAUAUCGGGAGGAACACCAGUGGCGAAGGCGGUUGCCUGGGGCUUUGCUGACGCUGAUGCGCGAAAGCGUGGGGAGCGAUCCGG